UCCGGGGCGACACACGUGUUACAAUGGGGGGUACAGCGGGAAGCCAGGCGGCGACGCCGAGCGGAACCCGAAAGCCCCUCCCAGUUCGGACUGGAGUCUGCAACCCGACUCCACGAAGUUGGAUUUGCUAGUAAUCGCGCAUCAGCCAUGGCGUGGUGAAUACGUUCCCGGGCCUUGUACACACCGCCCGUCAAGCCAUGGGAGCCGGGGGCGCCUGAAGUCCGGGACCGCGAGGACCGGCCUAGGGCGAAACUGGUGACUGGGGCUAAGUCGUAACAAGGUAGC
rnacentral:rRNA from 1 species